rnacentral:rRNA from 1 species
CAGUCGCCGCGGUAAUACGUAGGUGGCAAGCGUUGUCCGGAAUUAUUGGGCGUAAAGGGCUCGCAGGCGGUUUCUUAAGUCUGAUGUGAAAGCCCCCGGCUCAACCGGGGAGGGUCAUUGGAAACUGGGAAACUUGAGUGCAGAAGAGGAAAGUGGAAUUCCACGUGUAGCGGUGAAAUGCGUAGAGAUGUGGAGGAACACCAGUGGCGAAGGCGACUCUCUGGUCUGUAACUGACGCUGAGGAGCGAAAGCGUGGGGAGUGAACAGGAUUAGAUACCCCUGUAGUCCCUGUCUCUUAUAC